AAAACAUUUCUUACGGUUCUUAUAGUAAGUAAAACCUGCCCACUGAUUGUUAAAGGGCCGCGGUAUUUUGACCGUGCUAAGGUAGCAUAAUCAUUAGUCUCUUAAUUAGGGAAUAGUAUGAAUGGUUAAACCUUAAUACGUUUUAUUAAUCAAUUUAAUUUAAUUUUAAAUUUAAGUAAAAAUGCUUAAGCUUAUUAAAAAGACGAUAAGACCCUUUAGAGCUUUAUUUUGAGUUAUUAAUUUUAUUUUAGGUGUUUUUAAUUUAUUUUAAGAAAUUUUAUUGGGGCAAUAAAAGAAUAAAUAUAACUUCUUUUUAUUUAUAUAUCUUAACUAUUUAAAAAUAAAAAAGUUACCUAAGGGAUAACAGCGUAAUAAUUAUUGAGAGUCCGUAUCGACAUAAUUGUUUGCGACCUCGAUGUUGAAUUAAAAUUUCUUUUUAGGGCAGCACUUAAAGUAGAUAGUCUGUUCGACUAUAAAAAUUUUACAUGAUUUGAGUUCAAACCGGCGA
rnacentral:rRNA from 1 species